UAUCUCUGUAGAGUCUGCAUAUCAAUAAGCGGAGGAAAAGAAACUAACAAGGAUUCCCCUAGUAACGGCGAGUGAAGCGGGAAGAGCUCAAAUUUGAAAUCUUCAAGGUUUGACCUUGACGAAUUGUAGUUUAAAGAAGUGUUUUCGGUUAGAGGAGUAGUAAAAGUUCUUUGGAAUAGGACAUCAUAGAGGGUGAAAAUCCCGUAUUUGACUAUUCUUUCUAGCUUUGUGAUACACUUUCAAAGAGUCGGAUUGUUUGGGAAUGCAGUCCAAAAUGGGUGGUAAACUUCAUCUAAAGCUAAAUAUUGGCGAGAGACCGAUAGCGAACAAGUACCGUGAGGGAAAGAUGAAAAGAACUUUGAAAAGAGAGUUAAACAGUACGUGAAAUUGUCAAAAGGGAAGCGUUUGACACCAGUGUUGUUUUUCCGAAAAUCAAUUAAAAAUUGAUUCAUGCCAGGUUGUAUUGACCUUAUCAGCUUGCAAUUUGGUUUUGGGUCUCUUUUUGAUGCACUUUUCGGUUAACAAGUCAACAUCAAUUUCCUUUGCUGUAAAAAGGUAAGAGGAAGGUGGCUUCAAUUUCGGUUGAAGUGUUUAUAGCCUUUUAUCUCUGCAGUCGGGGAGAUUGAGGUCUGCAGCGUAGAUCCUUCGGGGCUAGAUACAUUUAUGCUAAGUUAUAGCUUUUCAUAGACAACUUGUUGACUAUGUUUAGUCAUGUAGCUUACUCGUAAGUGCUAUUUUACCUACGCUUAGGAUGUUGAAGACUCUACAGAGAUA
rnacentral:rRNA from 1 species